ACUUGGAUAACUGUAGUAAUUCUAGAGCUAAUACAUGAAUAUGUGCUUUGGUUCACGCCAAAUGCGAAUUUAUUAGAUCAAAACCAACCGGUUUCGGCCGUUAAAUUGGUGACUCUGGAUAACUAUUCCGAUCGCAUGACCUUGUGUCGGCGACGUAUCUUUCAAGUGUCUGCCCUAUCAACUUAAGUUGGUGAGUUAGUUGCUCACCAUGGUUAUAACGGGUAACGGAGAAUCAGUGUUCGAUACCGGAGAGGGAGCCUUAGAAACGGCUACCACAUCUAAGGAAGGCAGCAGGCGCGCAAAUUACCCACUCUCAGAACGAGGAGGUAGUGAAUUUAAAUAGCGAUGAUGAACUCUUAUGAGGCUCGUCAAUCGAAAUGAGUACAAUUUAAAUCCUUUAACGAGUACCAAUUGGAGGGCAAGUCUGGUGCCAGCAGCCGCGGUAAUUCCAGCUCCAAUAGCGAAUAUUAAAUUUGUUGCAGUUAAAAAGCUCGUAGUUGGAUCCAAGGUUAGGCAUGCCUGUCUGUUCUUAGUAGCAUGACUGUGUGUGUCUGCCUUUAUUAGUUGAAUGUUCAUUAUGGUGGUCUUCAUCGACUGCUAUGAUGUGCUCAACACGUUUACCUUGAAAAAAUCAGAGCGAUCAAGGCAGGCCUUCGUGCUUGUAUGUUGUUGCAAGGAAUAAUAGAAUAGGACUUCGGUUCUAUUUUGUUGGUUUUGAGAAUUGAAGUAAUGAACAAUAGAGACAGUCGGGGGCAUUUGUAUGGUGGCGUUAGAGGUGAAAUUCUGAGAUCGUCGCCAGACAAACUACUGCGAAAGCAUUUGCCAAGGAUGUCUUCAUUAAUCAAGAACGAAAGUCAGAGGUUCGAAGACGAUCAGAUACCGUCCUAGUUCUGACCAUAAACGAUGCCGACCUACAAUCGGGGGUGGUUUAUUAUAUUGACCCUCCCGGCUGUCCUCAGGAAACUUUAAGUUGGUUCUGGGGGGAAUAUGGUCUCAAGACUGAAACUUAAAGGAAUUGACGGAAGGGCACCACCAGGAGUGGAGCCUGCGGCUUAAUUUGACCCAACACGGGGAAUCUCACCCGGUCCGGACACUGGUAGGAUGGACAGAUUGAUAGCUCUUUCUUGAUUCAGUGGGUGGUGGUGCAUGGCCGUUCUUAGUUGGUGGAGCGAUUUGUCUGGUUAAUUCCGAUAACGAACGAGACUCUGUCCUGCUAAAUAGUCCAGUGGCAUCAAUCACUAUGUGAUUACAGCUGCUGUUACUUCUUAGAGGGAUUCGCGGAUUUAAACCGCAAGAAAUAGAGCAAUAACAGGUCUGUGAUGCCCUUAGAUGUCCGGGGCCGCACGCGCGCUACAUUGACAG
rnacentral:rRNA from 1 species